UCUCCCGCCGCAGCUGCCUCUUGCUCCACCACCGCAGCUACCCUCGCAUGCCUCCCCAAGCUCCCCCUUUCUCAAAAAAAUCCUUGAUUUGGAUCCCAUGUUAGUCCAACCCACAGCUACCGCCGCGCUCUGCUUCGGCUGCGUUGGAACCAUCGUCGGAGAGCCCGCAGGCGCCGGAUUCGGACCACCAACAACAACCUAAAGGCCGACGAGCAGCUGGGUGUCGUCCUCGCCAUCGACGAUGACGGUGACGCCGACACCGCGAAGCGAGGGUGAGAUCCUCCAGUCGGCCAAUGUCAAGAGCUUGCGGGCCUCCUCGCCGCCCCUGCCUUGUCGCGGGUUCGCCACACUGCAGCUCUUCUUGUCCAUUUCUCCCUGGCUUGACUGGUUGCGGCGCGGGAGAAGCGGCCGCGCUCGCUGAGGGGGACGCCGUGCGAGCGGAGGCCCUCUUCACCAAGAGCAUUGUCAUUCACUGAAUCAUUCUUUUUAGCCGGCGGCCAAUCUUUACAUCUGUUUGGCCGCCAAGUACUCCAUAUGCCGGCGAGAAUAGCGAUUGGGGAUACUGCCAGCGCCCCACUCACCCACCUCAGUCAUGAACUCAUGAUGCAUGCGAGAUGGAAAUGCGUGCAGAGAUACACACAUGGCGCAUUAGCAGAACGUAAGAGUCUGAAUUUCAAGAUACAGGAGGAGAACUGAUAGUUACUGAAGCCGAUGGAUCCACUGUCUGCGAAGGUAUCAUUCAGCAAAUAUGAUGGCAGUGGAAUUGCCAUCCUUUAUCUGGAAUGUGGUUGUAGCCCACAAAGUCCAGCGACCCCUUCACCAGAUCGGCCAGCUUCAGCGUGAACCUCGGCGUCCUUUCUCCGGCCCUCAAUCUCGUCGUUUCCGAGUCAUCGCCAAAGAAUAUAGGCAAACCUUUUGA